rnacentral:rRNA from 1 species
AACGAACGCUGGCGGCAGGCUUAACACAUGCAAGUCGAACGAACGUAGCAAUACGUUAGUGGCGCACGGGUGAGUAACGCGUGGAUAUCUGCCUUUUGGUUCGGGAUAACCUUGGGAAACUAGGGCUAAUACCGAAUGGUUCCUACGGGAUAAAGAUUUAUCGCCAAAAGAUGAGUCCGCGUCCGAUUAGCUAGUUGGUGUGGUAACGGCGCACCAAGGCGACGAUCGGUAGCUGGUCUGAGAGGACGAUCAGCCACACUGGGACUGAGACACGGCCCAGACUCCUACGGGAGGCAGCAGUGGGGAAUAUUGGACAAUGGGGGCAACCCUGAUCCAGCCAUGCCGCGUGAGUGAUGAAGGCCUUCGGGUUGUAAAGCUCUUUUGGCGGGGACGAUGAUGACGGUACCCGCAGAAUAAGCCCCGGCUAACUUCGUGCCAGCCGCCGCAGUAACAC